rnacentral:tRNA from 3 species
GCGAAGGUGGCGGAAUUGGUAGACGCGCUAGCUUCAGGUGUUAGUGUCCUUACGGACGUGGGGGCUCAAGUCCCCCCCCUCGCACCA